UGGCCGCGGUAUUUUGACCGUGCGAAGGUAGCAUAAUCAUUAGUCCGUUAAAUGUGGUCUGGAAUGAAGGGUUUGACGGGGAAUUUCUUUUUUAGCCUUAUUUUUGAAGUUAAAUUAUUAGUGAAAAUGCUAAUUUGAACUAGGAGGACGAGAAGACCCUAUAGAGCUUUAUAUUUUAUUUGAUUUUGAUGGUGUAAUUUUUCAAAUUUAUAUUUUGUUGGGGCGACAAUAAAUGAAAACAUUUAUUUUUAUUAUCUGUAAUGAUAGGUUGUGAUGAUCCAUUAUUAAUGAUUUUAGACUAAGUUACCUUAGGGAUAACAGCGUAAUUUUAUUUUAGAGUUCUUAUCGACAAUAAAGAUUGCSACCUCGAUGUUGGAUUAAAAUUCCUUUAAGGCGUAGUAGGGGGUUUGGGGCRAUCUGUUCAACUAAAUAAAAUUUA
rnacentral:rRNA from 1 species